rnacentral:misc_RNA from 1 species
GAUGAAGAACGUAGCGAAAUGCGAUAAGUAGUGUGAAUUGCAGAAUUCAGUGAAUCAUCGAAUCUUUGAACGCACAUUGCGCCCCUUGGUAUUCCAUGGGGCAUGCCUGUUCGAGCGUCAUUUGUACCUUCAAGCUCUGCUUGGUGUUGGGUGUUUGUCUCGCCUCUGCGUGUAGACUCGCCUCAAAACAAUUGGCAGCCGGCGUAUUGAUUUCGGAGCGCAGUACAUCUCGCGCUUUGCACUCAUAACGACGACGUCCAAAAGUACAUUUUUACACUCUUGACCUCGGAUCAGGUAGGGAUCCCCGCUGAACUUAAGCAUAUCAAUAAGCGGAGGA